rnacentral:rRNA from 1 species
UACGUAGGGGGCAAGCGUUGUCCGGAAUCAUUGGGCGUAAAGAGCGUGUAGGCGGCCCGGUAAGUCCGCUGUGAAAGUCCAGGGCUCAACCCUGGGAUGCCGGUGGAUACUGUCGGGCUCGAGUCCGGAAGAGGCGAGUGGAAUUCCUGGUGUAGCGGUGGAAUGCGCAGAUAUCAGGAGGAACACCGGUGGCGAAGGCGGCUUUCUGGACAGUAACUGACGCUGAGGCGCGAAAGCCGGGGGAGCAAACAGG